rnacentral:rRNA from 1 species
CCUACGGGCGGCUGCAGUCGAGAAUCUUCGGCAAUGGGCGCAAGCCUGACCGAGCGACGCCGCGUGGAUGAUGAAGGCCUUCGGGUUGUAAAAUCCUGUCGAGGGGGAUCAAGGGCACCUUGAGUGAUCCCUGGAGGAAGCACGGGCUAAGUUCGUGCCAGCAGCCGCGGUAAGACGAACUGUGCAAACGUUAUUCGGAAUCACUGGGCUUAAAGCGCGUGUAGGCGGCCCGGCACGUCCGUCUGUGAAAGCCCCCGGCUCAACCGGGGAACUGCGCCUUAAACUGGCGAGCUGGAGGAGGAUAGGGGUGUUUGGAACUUCCGGUGGAGCGGUGAAAUGCGUUGAUAUCAGAAGGAACGCCGGUGGCGAAAGCGAGUCGAUGGAUCUCAACUGACGCUGAGGCCCGAAAGCCAGGGGAGCGAACGGGAUUAGAUACCCCAGUAGUC